rnacentral:lncRNA from 1 species
CCGUCCUGUGCUAACAAUAAGUCAAUAAUAUAACAUUACAUUUUCUGGAUAAGAGUAACAUGGCCAACUAUUGUCCUCAGUGUAAGCCAGUACGAGUUAUCGCGCAUGAUUUUGAUUUCUUAUCCGUCUCAUCAGUCUUUUCUGUGUGUGAUAUCUUAUCAAGACAACAUGCUGAGUUUGUAAAGACAAUGUUGACACUCGUAAAUAAUUUGACUACCCUAAGUAAACAAUAUUAUAAAUAUAUGACACUGUAGCAUGCUAGGUUCCGCGGCAUGAAUACGAGUUGUAUAAAGAUUAUAAACUGACUUUAUUUCCCGAAAGAUAUACAAUUCGAUUUUACCGAAUAUCAAACCAUGCAUACAAAAUAAAAAGUCGAAAAAGGACAAAUAUGAGAUCAUGAUUACCAAACAUAUAUAUAUAUAUAUAUCUUUCGACGUAAACCCGAAUAUGAGACAGCGUAGAAUUUGAAUAUACAUACACAAACAC